UUAUCUUCUACUGUAUAUGAUGAGUAUUGUCUAGUUAUAUCCCUUUCAUUUUGGAUUUCCUUGAAAGGUUUUGAUAUUUAGGAAUUUGAGAUCCAGUGACAUAUCUCUCUGCUGUAGAACAAAGAUGGCUCUGGUAUUGAUACUUGUAAUGCUAGUGUAGGUGGAACUUCAAUUAUAAAUUAUUUAUUAAGUAUGUUCUGUGGAUUCAUCUCUAUUUCUGCUUCUUUACUAGAAAUUUUAGGCUCAAUAUUUCUUUUGCAAAAGAUUACUGAUUGUUGUUUCCUAUAUGUACCUGUUUCUCUAUAGGGGAAAGACAAUUGAUUUUUGGGGGUCAAAGGGAUACAAAUUCACACUUAGCAUGGGGUAGAAUCCCAUUGGUGCCAGCCCGCCUAGCUAAGCUAAGGCUUAUUUACUUGUGUGUCUUUUAUGUCCCCCCCCCCCCCUUGCUUCUUUUUUAUGUGCAAACCAGGUGGUGAGGGUGCUGAGAACGGUAAUAUGGUGACAUUUCUUUUAAAACCGUUCUCUGAUUUCAACUCAAAUAACUUGCCUUGAACCAAGUAUUUGAUACUAAAUCUUAACCAAAGAAAAAAAACAAUUGUGCAUACUAAAAUCACCUUUUGAGUUGACCAUAAAAAAGAUAGCAGUAUUCCACAUCUGAAGAACCCACAUUAAAGACCAAAAAAGAACCCACAUUGUUUUAUAGACAUUUAUUGAGUGUCAUAUUCAUUCCCCAUUCCUGUGGCCUGGCCUUCCAGAACAGAACACGCCCAUGCGCCCACACACACACAUUUAUAUAUGUACUUAUAUUUGGAACUUGGGGGAAGAUAUUUGAGACUAACUAAUUACUUUUCACAAUAAACUUAAUAUAGUCUAUUAUUAACCCAUAUUACUUCUCUUUUCUGGGCCAACCAGCGACUUGUUAGAGUGAACUAAUACAUGAAUAAAUUGGUUAUAUGAUAAUACUUUUAUAUGAAAAAGUUGGUCUCAUACAGGGAUAUAUUAGACUCACAAGAUUGAUUGAAAGGAAUAAUGAAGAUAAAAAACCGGUUUUUGAAGUUUAAUCACUUUGGGCAUGAAUUUGGAAGGAUAUGCACUGUUGCAGAAUUGGAAUAAAAUGGACAAGAUAGAGCAAAAUGGAUGUAGAUGAUUCAUAUGAUAAAAUCUAAAUAAUUUGAAUGGGAUAUAGUUGAUUUAUUCAUGAUUUAAUUGCAUCGUAUAGAGAAAUGUGAGGAGGGAUUCCCAAAGGGGGUUUAAGGUUGUGGAUGAUACGGAGGCUAUGGUCCCUGACUAUUUUAGAAACUGUUAAAGAAUCAUAUGAGAUAUCACUUUUUGGAGGUUAAUCAAGAUUGAGAAAAGGAGCAGCAAUUAGAGGAACCUUUUUUGAAGCUCUAACUAGCCUCAAGGCAGACAGAUCCAAGAUUUAAGCUUUAUGGGUUCACCUUUUAAGUUUUUUAGCGUUGAACUCAUCGUAUUCUUAAAGUUACGGGUUCAUAAUACUAUUUGUUAUA
rnacentral:lncRNA from 1 species